AGAGUUUGAUCAUGGCUCAGAACGAACGCUGGCGGCAGGCCUAACACAUGCAAGUCGAACGAGAAGCUUCUUCGGAAGUGGACAGUGGCAGACGGGUGAGUAACGCGUGGGGAUCUGCCCAGAGGUUCGGGACAACCAUUGGAAACGAUGGCUAAUACCGGAUAAGCCCGCAAGGGGAAAGAUUUAUCGCCUUUGGAUGAACCCGCGUAAGAUUAGCUAGUUGGUGAGGUAAUGGCUCACCAAGGCGACGAUCUUUAGCUGGUCUGAGAGGAUGAUCAGCCACAUUGGGACUGAGACACGGCCCAGACUCCUACGGGAGGCAGCAGUGGGGAAUAUUGCGCAAUGGGGGAAACCCUGACGCAGCCAUGCCGCGUGAGUGACGAAGGCCUUAGGGUUGUAAAGCUCUUUCGCUAGGGAAGAUAAUGACGGUACCUAGUAAAGAAGCCCCGGCUAACUCCGUGCCAGCAGCCGCGGUAAU
rnacentral:rRNA from 1 species